GGGGUUGUGGCUUAGAGGUAGAGCUCUUGCCUGGCAUGCAUGAGGCACUGCGUUCAAUCCUU
rnacentral:tRNA from 1 species